UCCCUGGCUCAGGACGAACGCAGGCGGCGUGCCUAAUACAUGCAAGUCGAGCGCAAUGAUGAAGAAGCUUGCUUCUUCUGAUUUUAGCGGCGGACGGGUGAGUAACACGUGGGCAACCUACCUUGUAGAUUGGGAUAACUCCGGGAAACCGGGGCUAAUACCGAAUAAUCCAUUUUGCUUCAUGGCAAGAUGUUGAAAGGCGGCUUCGGCUGUCACUACGAGAUGGGCCCGCGGCGUAUUAGCUAGUUGGUAGGGUAACGGCCUACCAAGGCGACGAUACGUAGCCGACCUGAGAGGGUGAUCGGCCACACUGGGACUGAGACACGGCCCAGACUCCUACGGGAGGCAGCAGUAGGGAAUCUUCCACAAUGGACGAAAGUCUGAUGGAGCAACGCCGCGUGAGUGAAGAAGGUUUUCGGAUCGUAAAACUCUGUUGUAAGGGAAGAACACGUACGAGAGUAACUGCUCGUACCUUGACGGUACCUUAUUAGAAAGCCACGGCUAACU
rnacentral:rRNA from 1 species